CACGUAAGGUGCGAGCGUUGUUCGGAAUUAUUGGGCGUAAAGGGCAUGUAGGCGGCCCAGGAAGCCCGGUGUGAAAUACGGGGGCUCAACCCCCGGGCUGCACCGGGAACUCCCGGGCUGGAAUGGCCGAGGCGGAGCCGGAAUUCCAGGUGUAGGGGUGAAAUCUGUAGAUAUCUGGAAGAACACCGAUGGCGAAGGCAGGCUCCGAGCGGACGAUUGACGCUGAGGUGCGAAGGUGCGGGGAGCGAAC
rnacentral:rRNA from 1 species